rnacentral:rRNA from 1 species
UACGGGGGGAGCAAGCGUUGUUCGGAUUUACUGGGCGUAAAGGGCGCGUAGGCGGCGUGACAAGUCACUUGUGAAAUCUCCGGGCUUAACCCGGAGCGGCCAAGUGAUACUGUCGUGCUAGAGUGCGGAAGGGGCUACUGGAAUUCUCGGUGUAGCGGUGAAAUGCGUAGAUAUCGAGAGGAACACCUGCGGCGAAGGCGGGUAGCUGGGCCGACACUGACGCUGAGGCGCGAAAGCCGGGGGAGCAAACGGG